AGCCUUCUGUAUCUGUGCUGCGAUUUCGUAACACACCAGAGCACAAGGACUGAUCAGAUACCCAAGGUAGGUGAAGUG
rfam:Schistosoma margrebowiei strain Zambia genome assembly, scaffold: SMRZ_scaffold0002974